GAUGAAGAACGUAGCGAACUGCGAUAAGUAAUGUGAAUUGCAGAAUUCAGUGAAUCAUCGAGUCUUUGAACGCACAUUGCGCCCCCUGGCAUUCCGGGGGGCAUGCCUGUCCGAGCGUCAUUGCUGCCCUUCAAGCCCGGCUUGUGUGUUGGGUCGUCGUCCCCCCCGGGGGACGGGCCCGAAAGGCAGCGGCGGCACCGCGUCCGGUCCUCGAGCGUAUGGGGCUUUGUCACCCGCUCGAUUUGGGCCGGCCGGGCGCCAGCCGGCGUCUCCAACCUUCUAUUUUACCAGGUUGACCUCGGAUCAGGUAGGGAUACCCGCUGAACUUAAGCAUAUCAAUAAGCGGAGGA
rnacentral:misc_RNA from 1 species